GGCCUGGUUGUUCUUGGCUUUGGAGAGGCAGAGGAACUUGGACCUUGCUUACUUUAACAGGGGACUUGCAAAAAGGCAGAGAAAAUAGGGCUUGACUAUAUGAAUGUUGAAGCACUAAAAAAAUGAAC